rnacentral:antisense_RNA from 1 species
UGUGGGAGCUGGCUUGCCUGCGAAAGCAGUGGGUCAGCCAGCUGAUUCGUUUCUGACCCGCCGCUAUCGCAGGCAAGCCAGCUCCCACA